rnacentral:rRNA from 1 species
UGGUUGGUUUUAAGAUCUAACACUCUCGUCGUAUACAGCUUCUGCUCGAUGUGAGCUGCUCUUGAUCGGGGCGGGUGAUCGUGGGUCCUGCCUAUGGGAUAACUCCGGGAAACCGGGGCUAAUACCGGAUAACAUUUUGCACUGCAUGGUGCAAAAUUGAAAGGCGGCUUCGGCUGUCACUUAUGGAUGGACCCGCGUCGCAUUAGCUAGUUGGUGAGGUAACGGCUCACCAAGGCAGCGAUGCGUAGCCGACCUGAGAGGGUGAUCGGCCACACUGGGACUGAGACACGGCCCAGACUCCUACGGGAGGCAGCAGUAGGGAAUCUUCCGCAAUGGACGAAAGUCUGACGGAGCAACGC